AGCGAGAAAGGUCUUCGGACUGAGUAAAGCGGCGGACGGGUGAGUAACGCGUAGGAAUUUGCCUUUCAGUGAAGAAUAUCCUCGAGAAAUCGAGGUUAAUGCUGCAUAAGUCCUUAACGGGAGAAAGAUGGCCUCUUUGCUGUCGCUGAAAGAUAAGCCUGCGUACUAUUAGCUAGUUGGUAGGGUAAAGGCCUACCAAGGCGAUGAUGGUUAGCCGGCCUGAGAGGGUGUACGGCCACACUGGAACUGAGACACGGNCCAGACUCCUACGGGAGGUAGCAGUGAGGAAUAUUGCGCAAUGGGCGAAAGCCUGACGCAGCGACGCCGCGUGGAGGAUGAAGGUUUUCGGAUUGUAAACUCCUGUUAAGUGGGAAGAAACGACAAAAUAUAAUACAUUUUGUAACUGACGGUACCAUUAAAGAAAGCACCGGCUAACUUCGUGCCAGCAGCCGCGGUAAUACG
rnacentral:rRNA from 1 species